UACGUAGGGUGCAAGCGUUGUCCGGAAUUAUUGGGCGUAAAGAGCUCGUAGGUGGUUUGUUACGUCUGCUGUGAAAACCUAGGGCUUAACCCUGGGCCUGCAGUGGAUACGGGCAGACUAGAGGUAGGUAGGGGAGAAUGGAAUUCCCGGUGUAGCGGUGAAAUGCGCAGAUAUCAGGAGGAACACCGGUGGCGAAGGCGGGUCUCUGGGCCGAUACUGACGCUGAGGAGCGAAAGCGUGGGGAGCGAACAGG
rnacentral:rRNA from 1 species